UACGAAGGGUGCAAACGUUGCUCGGAAUCAUUGGGCGUAAAGCGCACGUAGGCGGCUUCGCAAGUCGGAUGUGAAAUCCCAUGGCUCAACCAUGGACGUGCAUCCUAAACUGCGGAGCUUGAGUACUGAAGAGGAUCGCGGAAUUCCCGGUGUAGAGGUGAAAUUCGUAGAUAUCGGGAGGAACACCAGUGGCGAAGGCGGCGAUCUGGGCAGAUACUGACGCUGAGGUGCGAAAGCGUGGGGAGCAAACAGG
rnacentral:rRNA from 1 species